UAAAAUCCGGACCGAGUCCAGCCCACACGCACCACUAUACUCUCUCUUUUCCCCCCUCCCCUUUACCCCUAAACCCUAAGCCGCCGCCCCACUUUUCUCUUCUCUUUCAUGUCAAAAAUGGCAACUCUGCAGGAUCGAGAGAGAUCAGGCUCAAAUCGAGCCAUUCGUUGUUAGCAAGGAGUUUGGAUCGGAAGCACAAGGCUCCAAAUUCGAUCUUGUUGGCGGCUGCACAUCAAAAAGAGUUCGUCACAGGCUCUGCUUCUACACCUCGCGAGUGAUCCCGAGGCCCAUUGCUAGAGUUUCCAGGAUGAGCCAUGUUCCAGAUCCGCAGCCCCUAAAACUCUUCUUUCAUGAUAUUUGUCCUUCUGUUCCGAUACAGUAUUUCAGACUCUUAUGCAUCUGUUAUUUUCAGCCAUAUGUAGUUUAUAGUGGCUCUUGUACUAUACUUAGACUAGAUUUUUAGUAUUUUGUAUUCGUAUUCCGCACUUAGUAGUUAUUUAUAUAUUAAGACUGCUUAAACAA